rnacentral:rRNA from 1 species
UAAGGAAUAUUGGUCAAUGGACGCAAGUCUGAACCAGCCAUGCCGCGUGAAGGAUGAAGGUCCUCUGGAUUGUAAACUUCUUUUAUAGGGGACGAAACCCGGGUAUUCUUACCCGAUUGACGGUACCCUAGGAAUAAGCACCGGCUAACUCCGUGCCAGCAGCCGCGGUAAUACGGAGGGUGCAAGCGUUAUCCGGAUUCACUGGGUUUAAAGGGUGCGUAGGAGGGCAGGUAAGUCAGUGGUGAAAUCUCCGAGCUUAACUCGGAAACUGCCGUUGAUACUAUCUGUCUUGAAUCCCGUGGAGAUGAGCGGAAUAUGUCAUGUAGCGGUGAAAUGCUUAGAUAUGACAUAGAACACCAAUUGCGAAGGCAGCUCGUUACACGAAGAUUGACUCUGAGGCACGAAAGCGUGGGGAUCAAACA